UGGGAUGUCUUUUGCAUCUGGAGUUCAUCCACAUGCUGUAGCUUGAGAAAUCUGGUUGGGAUAUCUUGGUGCAUUUGGAUGUUCACAGAGGUUUAUAUAUAAAUCGACACAAGAUGCCAAAAGUUUUAUCAUCCAAAUAACUCACGAACAACCUAUCUGAACAAGAAGAAACCUUUGGUGUUUGGUUGAAUUGUUCCUUCGACAUAUACACGGAUUUGAGACCCAACACCUACUUUGAAGUUAUGUGUGUGAGAAGAUAUAUAGAGAGAAAUUUCGAUUUCCUUGUUUGUUUGUUUGUCCAAAAAAUGAAAUAUAUGUGGGAAUUAUGAGAAAAACUAGUUGUCCAUUUUUACAUAUCCAAGAAUUCUCCUGUAAUGUUUGUUAUAGAAUAGCUGAACUAUUGUCUCAUAUAAGGAAAAGGUCACGAUGCAUUCUGGA